GGGGGAGCAAGUGGUUUAAUUUGAUACGAAUCAAAGAAUAUGACCAUGGUUUUACAUGUUGUGAAUUGUUUUGAAUGAGACAGGUACCCUCGGGGACACAAACAUAGGUGGUGCAUGGCUAUCAUCAGCUCAUGUCGUAAGAUGUUGGGUUAAGUCUCGCAAUGAGCGCAACCCUCAUGCUUCCACUAUGAGUUUGGAACCCUAAAUAGAUCAUCGGUGUUAAACCGAAGAAAGGAAAAGAUGAUGCCAAGUCAUCUUGAUCCGUAUGCUCUAAACGACAUGCAUAUAAUGGCUAGGACAAAGGAUCGUGAUCUUGUGAAGGCGAGUUAACUCCAAAAAUCUAUACUAAGUUUGGUUGUAGGAUGGUAACGACAUUUUCAAAAUCUC
rnacentral:ncRNA from 1 species